GAGGGUGUGGCUCAGCGGCAGAGCGCGUGCUCAGCGCGCACGAGGUCCUGGGUUCAAUCCCCAGUCCCUCCA
rfam:Camelus ferus unplaced genomic scaffold scaffold107, whole genome shotgun sequence.